rnacentral:tRNA from 1 species
GGCUCCUUAGCUCAGUCUGGUUAGAGCACUCGCCUCUUAAGCGAGUGGUCGGGGGUUCAAAUCCCUCAGGGGCCA